GAUGAACGCUGGCGGCGUGCCUAAUACAUGCAAGUCGAGCGAACAGACGAGGAGCUUGCUCCUCUGACGUUAGCGGCGGACGGGUGAGUAACACGUGGAUAACCUACCUAUAAGACUGGGAUAACUUCGGGAAACCGGAGCUAAUACCGGAUAAUAUAUUGAACCGCAUGGUUCAAUAGUGAAAGACGGUUUUGCUGUCACUUAUAGAUGGAUCCGCGCCGCAUUAGCUAGUUGGUAAGGUAACGGCUUACCAAGGCAACGAUGCGUAGCCGACCUGAGAGGGUGAUCGGCCACACUGGAACUGAGACACGGUCCAGACGCCUACGGGAGGCAGCAGUAGGGAAUCGUACGCAAUGGGCGAAAGCCUGACGGAGCAACGCCGCGUGAGUGAUGAAGGUCUUCGGAUCGUAAAACUCUGUUAUUAGGGAAGAACAAAUGUGUAAGUAACUAUGCACGUCUUGACGGUACCUAAUCAGAAAGCCACGGCUAACUACGUG
rnacentral:rRNA from 1 species